CUGGACACCAGGUGCUGAUGACUGGCUCCGUCCUGAGCCCAGCCUCCCGCUGUGUUUCCCCUGGAGGGACAGAGCUGAUGCUCAGGUGCAAGCGUUCCUGCUUACUUUUCGUGCCUCGACUCCACGAGCCUGGGCUGGAGAAGACACCCAUGCCAUGGAGAAAUGGGUCUGGAAGCACCCAACCUGGCUGGAGAUCCCUGGGGCAAGAGCAGGGGCAGGCACUGAAAGAUGAAAUGGAUAGUCUACAGAGAAGACUGACCUAGGAAUAGCCCUAAAGCACUUGUUUCAGGGUAUUAG